GGUGAGAUGGCCGAGCGGUCUAAGGCGCCAGAUUAAGGUAUUUACAACAUCCGUUGGAAGCCUUCUGGUCAGAAAUGGCGUGGGUUCGAAUCCCACUCUCAUCA